rnacentral:rRNA from 1 species
GAUGAACGCUGGCGGCGUGCCUAAUACAUGCAAGUCGAGCGAACGGACGAGAAGCUUGCUUUUCUGAUGUUAGCGGCGGACGGGUGAGUAACACGUGGAUAACCUACCUAUAAGACUGGGAUAACUUCGGGAAACCGGAGCUAAUACCGGAUAAUAUUUUGAACCGCAUGGUUCAAAAGUGAAAGACGGUCUUGCUGUCACUUAUAGAUGGAUCCGCGCUGCAUUAGCUAGUUGGUAAGGUAACGGCUUACCAAGGCAACGAUGCAUAGCCGACCUGAGAGGGUGAUCGGCCACACUGGAACUGAGACACGGUCCAGACUCCUACGGGAGGCAGCAGUAGGGAAUCUUCCGCAAUGGGCGAAAGCCUGACGGAGCAACGCCGCGUGAGUGAUGAAGGUCUUCGGAUCGUAAAACUCUGUUAUUAGGGAAGAACAUAUGUGUAAGUAACUGUGCACAUCUUGACGGUACCUAAUCAGAAAGCCACGGCUAACUACGUGCCAGCAGCCGCGGUAACACGUAGGUGGCAAGCGUUAUCCGGAAUUAUUGGGCGUAAAGCGCGCGUAGGCGGUUUUUUAAGUCUGAUGUGAAAGCCCACGGCUCAACCGUGGAGGGUCAUUGGAAACUGGAAAACUUGAGUGCAGAAGAGGAAAGUGGAAUUCCAUGUGUAGCGGUGAAAUGCGCAGAGAUAUGGAGGAACACCAGUGGCGAAGGCGACUUUCUGGUCUGUAACUGACGCUGAUGUGCGAAAGCGUGGGGAUCAAACAGGAUUAGAUACCCUGGUUGUCCACGCCGUAAACGAUGAGUGCUAAGUGUUAGGGGGUUUCCGCCCCUUAGUGCUGCAGCUAACGCAUUAAGCACUCCGCCUGGGGAGUACGACCGCAAGGUUGAAACUCAAAGGAAUUGACGGGGACCCGCACAAGCGGUGGAGCAUGUGGUUUAAUUCGAAGCAACGCGAAGAACCUUACCAAAUCUUGACAUCCUUUGACAACUCUAGAGAUAGAGCCUUCCCCUUCGGGGGACAAAGUGACAGGUGGUGCAUGGUUGUCGUCAGCUCGUGUCGUGAGAUGUUGGGUUAAGUCCCGCAACGAGCGCAACCCUUAAGCUUAGUUGCCAUCAUUAAGUUGGGCACUCUAAGUUGACUGCCGGUGACAAACCGGAGGAAGGUGGGGAUGACGUCAAAUCAUCAUGCCCCUUAUGAUUUGGGCUACACACGUGCUACAAUGGACAAUACAAAGGGCAGCGAAACCGCGAGGUCAGGCAAAUCCCAUAAAGUUGUUCUCAGUUCGGAUUGUAGUCUGCAACUCGACUACAUGAAGCUGGAAUCGCUAGUAAUCGUAGAUCAGCAUGCUACGGUGAAUACGUUCCCGGGUCU